AUUUUUAAGCCUAAACACAGCCAUCGUGAUCUAUUUCUUCUCCCACGCAUUGUGCCCUUCUCAUUUAGUACAGCAACAAGAAGCAAAGAUUGCAUUACUUGCUGCUUCUGUGUAUAACUCGGAUUAUUCUUGGAUUACUUUUUGUUGUAUCCAGCAGAUCAGAUAGGACUUGCUUCACAUUGUGGUACUUGAAUUACUCCCUGUAUUGUCGAUAUUGAAACAUUUAAGGUUUUAUCUGUAUUAAGAUCUUGCACCGUGUUGGCUCUUCUCUUGUAACAACUCCUCUAGCAAGAAUGUAAUUCUGGAAGCUACUGCUAACUUGGUUUGAUAUCUUUUAAUAAGACAGAACCUAGUUUUCUGUGCUCUUCACCAUGGGACGUUUGUGAAAGGUUAUUUUUAUCAAGUGACACUUUUCUUUUCAUGUCAUCCAUCUUUCACUGGAAAAGUUGAAACUGGAAGCUGGCUGUGUGGUUAUUGAGGUGUCUUCUGCUGAUGCAUGUGCUGAAGGAAACUUGAAGCCAUGUCCAGGCUGGCGUUCCGCUGAGUGCCAGUUGGUAUGUCUGUAUUUGGGGCACGAGUGGUCACGAGAGCUGCUGGUUGGACAAAGUGGGGAUGAGAGGUCGUGGUGCCAAGCGUUCCUGUAGCUGAGGUCCAGCUCUGCAUUGCUGUGAGAAGCCAUCCAGCUCUUCUCUCUGUGCUUACCGUAGUUCCUGAUGGCAGUUGCUGCCAGCUCCAGCACUGGCUGCUCUCUGCACGCUGCCCGUUUGGAUCUCUGCCUGUCCCUUUGGAAACAAGCUGUAGUGCACCGAGACAUUGUGCCGUGGACAAGCAUAGGGUGGGCUGAGUAGCUGAUGCUGACAGUGCCCUCUCCUUCCCAUUCAUCUGUUGUCUUAGAGCACGUUUUCUGGCCCAGGAGGGCUCGACUUCGGGUGUCCUCGAGCAAAGUGCUUUGAUCUAGCAGGGUGCACUGUAGUUCUUGUUGGAGUUAAGGCACACAUCAGGCAUAACAUGCGAAGCUUGCCUGUACAGGACCUGGAAGAUGCAGUCCCUGUUCUCAUGGCUGUGUUGAUUCUGUAAAACAGCAGUUUGGGAAGUAGCUGCCUGCUGCCACCCUGCAUCCUCUGCUCCUGUGUCACGGUGUCCCGGAUCCCCAGCAGCGUAGGAACUUCUUCGGAUAGGAGAGGGCUGAAGGAUGUGGGCCCAGGAAGCAGCAGUGUUCCUGGUGGGCAUAACGCCACGCCUGAUUGCUGUUCAAACCAUGGUUGCACCGGUGGUGGGGGGUAAACCUCUGCCCAGUGCCAGAGCUCUGCUGGAGUCACCUACAGAGGUUAUUUUUACCCUUUUUGGGCUUUGUCUUUUGGAUAGCGUUUAGUAGUGUACAAAAUUAUAAGCACAUUUUCAAUGAUGUGUAUUAAAGAGGCACCUUUUAUUUGUAUUAAUCACCUUUGAUAGACAAUUUGGUGCCUGCAGUUCUUGGUAAAUUGUAAAUGUCUCACUUUGGGUGUAUAAAUUGUUAACCCUUUCGAACUUAUCAAAAAUGGCUAAGUUUAAAAAAAAAAAACAAAAAUGCUUAGGAUAGAAAAUUAGCAGCUUAAUGACAAUACACUUAGUCCACUGCAAGUGCCCUCAUCCUUCCUAGCUGCAGAGUUGUUUGCUUUCCAAAGCUGAAACUUGAGCAUGGUCAACCAUUUUUUCUCAGUAACAAAGGCAGUUUUGCAUGGCAGUUCUCUUGCUGUACUCAAAUGCAUGCACUUAUUAUCUAUGCAAGCAUCUAAUAUGAACCACAGUCCGUGCUUUCAGUACCCAGAGCUGCUCGGUGGGCACCGGGGCAUGCUUUGACUCUGUGCUUCUGUUCCUUGGUGCAGCGCCGUGUUGGCACACAGGAGCAUGUACCUGGUUUCCUGCUUUAUUUGCACAUCUUUUUGAUUCUUUCCUUUGCAGAAUUUGGGAUAACUGACAAGGCUGGAGUGCAGCGUAAUGUCAAAGGAAUUCGAAACGUUGAAAUGAGAACAAACUGGUUUUCUGUAUUGUAUUGUUUUCCUUUUUUUUUCCUUUUUUCCUUUUUUUUGGUGUUUGUUUUGUUUUAAAACAGGGCAAUCCUGGUCAGCGUUCUAUACGUAGCCUGCUGCUUUGUGUACCUUUGCUGACACACUCUGGGUGGUGAGAAGGGGCUGUGGGGCAGAGCCGUGCCCCUAUGGGCCAUGCCCAGGGCUCAGCCAGCAUGGAGAGGGGUGGGAAGUGACAUUCCAAUUGGUUUUGCUGUCAUCUUUUUUUUUUCCUAUCUUUGUCAUUGCCUCCUAAUCUGAAACAAUUUGGCGGCAUCCAACGUUACCUGUGGAGGGAACUGAAAUUUAGUUUUAAUCUGUGGUGAGAUGAAAGUCCUACUACGUGGUUUCCUUAACAAAAGCACCAUGAAGCAUCUACUAUUAGGAGCUUUACUUUGUAAAAUAAAGAAAGAAGAGUGGGAAUAUGAGGAAUUGGAAUUCAGUGGAGAAAAAAAAAGGGGGGGAAAAAUGUAAUAAAAUACAAUAAAUUUAUUACUAGGCCUCCUGCCUCAGUGAGUGUUUUUCAGUCCCCUGUGGCCACCCCUCAGCACGGUCCCUUGGGGGUGGGACAGCCCUGCACCCUGUGUCCCUGGGACAUGCUUUGCUCCUAAACCUUGC
rnacentral:lncRNA from 1 species